AUGCAAAGUAUUACACCUUUAUCUUGACAUAUACUUCUCAAGAAAUGGGUGCAAGAAUCUGUUUUGUUAUACUAUUCUUUUGGGCACUUCUCACCAUCAUCACGCCUAUUCUCGUUCGGCUGUCCACCAAUCCAAAUCCCUUGGAAUGUUACGAUGAAGACGAGAGUGACUUUCUAAGUGGUAUAGGGUGGAGUUUCUGGUUGAAGAGAAGAUGUGAAUGUACCAGUUCUGUUGAAACGGUAUCCACGCCAGCACCGGAACCAGCAUCAACAAUUUCUGAUCUACGUACACCUCAUUUUUAUAUGAUGGAAAUAAACUGCAAGGGUUUGUCUAGAAAAUUUUUAGUGACAAGUCAGAUGCAAUAAAAUUAUGCUUAAUCGGAAUAGGCAGCUCAAUGUAUAUUCUUUAGGUAAUACAUAUUUGGUGUACAAUAAUUAUAUUGUAUAUAUGAUUGUUCAUCCUGCCUUUUCAUGGUAGAUGUGGGAUUAAUUUCACGUCUUUGUGUUGGUUCAUGUGUUUA